AGAUUUUCCAUAUUUGUUAAGAUGCAUCAUUGCUUCUGUGGGUUUAGCUGCGCUCUUAAUAUCUGCUGUUACAGUCAACAUGUGGGCAAAAUCUAAAGUGAACAAAACACAGAUGGAAAAAAGAAGCGUGCACAGUGAUGAAGAUGAAGGUACAGUGACCUAUGAAAACUCUGCAGACCCUUCUGCUUCUGUCAGACUCCACUGAUCAUCAACAUCAACUCAGCACAGAAAC